CCUACGGGGGUCAGCAGUGGGGAAUAUUGGACAAUGGGCGAAAGCCUGAUCCAGCCAUGCCGCGUGUGUGAAGAAGGCCUUCGGGUUGUAAAGCACUUUCAGUGGGGAAGAAAGCCUUGGGGCUAAUACCCUCGAGGAAGGACAUCACCCACAGAAGAAGCACCGGCUAACUCCGUGCCAGCAGCCGCGGUAAUACGGAGGGUGCGAGCGUUAAUCGGAAUUACUGGGCGUAAAGCGCGCGUAGGCGGUCUGAUAAGCCGGUUGUGAAAGCCCCGGGCUCAACCUGGGAACGGCAUCCGGAACUGUCAGGCUAGAGUGCAGGAGAGGAAGGUAGAAUUCCCGGUGUAGCGGUGAAAUGCGUAGAGAUCGGGAGGAAUACCAGUGGCGAAGGCGGCCUUCUGGACUGACACUGACGCUGAGGUGCGAAAGCGUGGGUAGCAAACAGGAUUAGAUACCGUGUAGUC
rnacentral:rRNA from 1 species